GGCGCUGUAGUGUAGCGGUUAUCACUCAAGAUUCUGAUGAACAUAAUGAAUUCGUAAACCUGUUUAUUCUUGAAACCCAGGUUCGAUUCCUGGCAGUGCCU
rnacentral:tRNA from 1 species